AGUGAAACAGCCCUUGUAAUGUCUCACUGGGCAUAUGUGUUACUUUAAUCCCCAGUUCAUGCUCAUGUUUACCUGUUAGCCUCUGCUGCCUUCUGUCACCAAGAGCGCACCACCCACUUUUCCUUUUGAGCGCCCCCACAUCCCUGCAAGUAAACCUGCGCGUGCGCAGUGUGGCAUUGCUCCACCCUCAGCUACCACAGCGGCCCAGUUACCCGGGGCAGUGCCCUCCCCCAGAGGAAAUGGCCAGCGAAGGUCACUGAGGUACAAGCACGUAUUUUCUGAGGCUUUUUUAGAUAUCAAAGAGACACCUUCUUGCAAGUAGUAUGUCGCGAGGAGUAACAUUUCUUGCUGAAGCUAAUUUUUCUAAUAAAAGUCAACCUGAGGUGGUACCUAGAAAACAAAAGGAACUCUGAAUUGGAGAACCAGAUGCAAUCUGGAACCUCUGGAUGGAAUCAGACCUGAAGGGAGAUGUUUCUGGAUCUUCACCAACAUAGAUCAAUACAUUCAUUUUUUGUAUGAGCAACUAUAACUUGGAUUGGGGAACAACUAAAUAUACAAUAUAUAACACCUCCUCUGCAAGUCUGAAGAGUGCCUCCGAACAGGGGCAUGACAGGUGGAGACCUGGAGCUACCAAGGGCACAAAGAGCUCCCUAGUGGUUCUGACUUGAGACGUUUCAACAUGAUGGAAAUACAGUUGAUG
ensembl:lncRNA